UACGAAGGGGGCUAGCGUUGCUCGGAAUCACUGGGCGUAAAGGGCGCGUAGGCGGUCUUUUAAGUCGGGGGUGAAAGCCUGUGGCUCAACCACAGAAUUGCCUUCGAUACUGGGAGACUUGAGUUCGGAAGAGGUUGGUGGAACUGCGAGUGUAGAGGUGAAAUUCGUAGAUAUUCGCAAGAACACCGGUGGCGAAGGCGGCCAACUGGUCCGACACUGACGCUGAGGUGCGAAAGCGUGGGGAGCAAACAGG
rnacentral:rRNA from 1 species